rnacentral:rRNA from 1 species
UACGGAAGGCAGCAGUGGGGAAUAUUGCACAAUGGGCGUAAGCCUGAUGCAGCCAUGCCGCGUGUAUGAAGAAGGCCUUCGGGUUGUAAAGUACUUUCAGUCGUGAGGAAGGUGUUAAGGUUAAUAACCUUAGCAAUUGACGUUAGCGACAGAAGAAGCACCGGCUAACUCCGUGCCAGCAGCCGCGGUAAUACGGAGGGUGCGAGCGUUAAUCGGAAUUACUGGGCGUAAAGGGCACGCAGGCGGUUAAUUAAGUUGGAUGUGAAAUCCCCGGGCUUAACCUGGGAAUGGCAUUCAAGACUGGUUAGCUAGAGUCUUGUAGAGGGGGGUAGAAUUCCAUGUGUAGCGGUGAAAUGCGUAGAGAUGUGGAGGAAUACCGGUGGCGAAGGCGGCCCCUGGACAAAGACUGACGCUCAUGUGCGAAAGCGUGGGGAGCAAACAGGGAUUAGAUACC